rnacentral:rRNA from 1 species
UGGGGAAUAUUGCACAAUGGGCGCAAGCCUGAUGCAGCCAUGCCGCGUGUAUGAAGAAGGCCUUCGGGUUGUAAAGUACUUUCAGCGAGGAGGAAGGCGUUGUGGUUAAUAACCGCAGCGAUUGACGUUACUCGCAGAAGAAGCACCGGCUAACUCCGUGCCAGCAGCCGCGGUAAUACGGAGGGUGCAAGCGUUAAUCGGAAUUACUGGGCGUAAAGCGCGCGCAGGCGGUCUGUCAAGUCGGAUGUGAAAUCCCCGGGCUCAACCUGGGAACUGCAUCCGAAACUGGCAGGCUAGAGUCUUGUAGAGGGGGGUAGAAUUCCAGGUGUAGCGGUGAAAUGCGUAGAGAUCUGGAGGAAUACCGGUGGCGAAGGCGGCCCCCUGGACAAAGACUGACGCUCAGGUGCGAAAGCGUGGGGAGCAAACA